GUCGAACGAUAACCCACUUCGGUGGGUUUUAUUGGCGAACGGCUGAGUAACACUGGGUAAAUCUGCCCUGUACUCUGGGACAUGCCCUGGAAACGGGGUCUAAUACCGGAUAUGACCCUCGCUGGCAUCUGUGAGGGUGGAAAGCUCCUGCGGUGCCUGAUGAACCCGCGGCCUAUCAUCUUGUUGGUGAGGUAACGGCUCACCGAGGCGACGACGGGUAGCCGGCCUGAGAGGGCGACCGGCCACACUGGGACUGAAACACGGACCAGACUCCUACAGGAGGCAGCAGUGGGGAAUAUUGCACAAUGGGCGAAAGCCUGAUGCACCGACGCCGCGUGAGGGAUGACGGCCUUCAGGUUGUAAACCUCUUUCAGCAUGUAAGAAGCGAAAGUGACGGUACCUGCAAAAGAAGCGCCGGCUAACUACGUGUCAACAACCGCGGUAAUACAUAUGGCGCAAGCGUUGUCCGGAAUUAUUGAGCGUAAAGAGCUCAUACGCGGCUUGUCGCGUCAGUGGUGAAAGCCCGGGGCUUAACCCCGGGUCUGCAUUCGAUACGGCCAGGCUAGAGUUCUGUAUGUGAGAUCGGAAUUCCUGGUGUAGCGAUGAGAUGCUCAAAUAUCAGGAGUAACAUCGGUGGGCAAGGCGGAUCUCUGGGUCGAUACUGACGAUGAUGAGCGAAUGCGUGUCCACUGAAGAGCAUUAGAUACCCUGGGUAUUCCACGUCGUAAACGGUGGGCCCUAUUGUGCCGGGCGAAAUUCCACGUCCUCCGAGACGCAGCUAACGCAUUUUGUGCUCCCGCCUGCGGAUUACAGACGCAAGGCUGACAGUCAAAGCAGUGACGGGGUCCCGCCCAAUCGGCGUAGCUGGUGGCCUUAUUCGACGCAA
rnacentral:rRNA from 1 species